GCAAGUCGAACGAGAACGGGUAUUAGUUUACUAUAACUGUCAGCUAAGUGGCGCACGGGUGAGUAAUAUAUAGGUAACGUGCCCUAGAGAGGGGGAUAACAUUUGGAAACGAAUGCUAAUACCCCAUAUGCCUUUAAGUCUUAAGUCUGCAAGGGAAAUAUUUAUAGCUUGAAGAUCGGCCUGUACAGUAUCAGUUAGUUGGUGAGGUAAUGGCUCACCAAGACAAUGACGCCUAACUGGUUUGAGAGGAUGAUC
rnacentral:rRNA from 1 species